rnacentral:lncRNA from 1 species
CUGGGAUUACAGUUUGAACCACAGUGCCUGACUGCAGCUGUAGUUCUUACUGGAUGCUUACCAUGUGUCAAAUACUGUUCUAUACACUUGACACAUAGUCUCUUUCACACUUCAAACAACCCCUCUGCAGAUUAGGAAACUGAGGCCCAGAGAGGUUAAGCCAGCCCAUACACUUGAAGGGAUGGGUGUAAAGCAGAGUGAUUGAGAGGAGGGAGCCUGGGUGAGUUGGGAGGGAUGCACACUUGCUGCAGCCCACAGAUCCUUGGCUUUUUGGCUGGAAGGAAAGGUGCAUGCCGGGCGGAGUCAGCAGUGAUGUUAAUGCUCCCUGCCUGCCAGGCUAGGGUGCUUGUGCUUGCUCCUCCAGGCUCCACACCAACUGUUUUCUUCUGUGUUUCUAUCUUAGGUGACCAGUGCUACGACUUAAUGAAUUGGAGCUGGGAGUCCUGGCUCUGGAACCUUAGGCAGGCUCCUGCCCUCUCUUGGCCUCAGUGUCCUCUCUCUGAAAGGAGUGUUGCUCAGGCACUUCCAACCCAGCCCACGGGUCUCUCUAUUCAUAGCUUCAGAGCACGAUUAAGCUCAGAUGCAGAAGCAGCUUUAAUUAACAUCAGCCUUUUCCCAAAAUAGCCCCUCCCCUGCCUCACAGGUGCCCUAGAACACAGGACAGGCACCGACGAGGGAGGUAAGAGAGAGCAGAGGCCCUUCUGUCUGCACAACCCUGAGCAGAUGAAUUUCUGGCCUUCUCAUGCAGUCUUGGUUCGUUGCCCUGGUGGGUCUCCAGGCUAAAGAGAGAGUAUCUAUUCCUCCUUUUCCUCUUUCUAGUCUGUAUUCAUUCAUUCAUCCCUCAAAGGGGAGAGCCUUCUCUUUGCCAGGCCUGGGAUACAGCCAUGAACCAGAUAGACAGCUGUCUCUCUCCUCGUCCAACUGGCCACCAGGUGUCACCAGUGCAAGUCACAAGGCCUCUUGCAGGCCUGAGAAGUGAUGGGCUGGGAUGGGGAAGUAUGGAUGAGUGAACCUGGCCAGCUCUGCUCAGCCAGCCUAAAUUCCAGUUGGGCACGGUGGCUCACACCUGUAAUCCCAGCACUUU